CCUACGGGAGGCAGCAGUGGGGAAUAUUGGACAAUGGGCGAAAGCCUGAUCCAGCCAUGCCGCGUGUGUGAAGAAGGCCUUCGGGUUGUAAAGCACUUUCAGUGGGGAAGAAAGCCUUGGGGCUAAUACCCUCGAGGAAGGACAUCACCCACAGAAGAAGCACCGGCUAACUCCGUGCCAGCAGCCGCGGUAAUACGGAGGGUGCGAGCGUUAAUCGGAAUUACUGGGCGUAAAGCGCGCGUAGGCGGUCUGAUAAGCCGGUUGUGAAAGCCCCGGGCUCAACCUGGGAACGGCAUCCGGAACUGUCAGGCUAGAGUGUAGGAGAGGAAGGUAGAAUUCCCGGUGUAGCGGUGAAAUGCGUAGAGAUCGGAAGGAAUACCAGUGGCGAAGGCGGCCUUCUGAACUGACACUGACGCUGAGGUGCGAAAGCGUGGGUAGCAAACAGGAUUAGAUACCCGUGUAGUC
rnacentral:rRNA from 1 species